GGAGUUAGCCGGUGCUUCUUCUGUGAGUGAUGUCCUUCCUGCCGGCUAUUAACCCGCAGGCCUUCUUCCUCACUGAAAGUGCUUUACAACCCGAAGGCCUUCUUCACACACGCGGCAUGGCUGGAUCAGGGUUGCCCCCAUUGUCCAAUAUUCCCCACUGCUGCCUCCCGUAGGAGUCUGGGCCGUGUCUCAGUCCCAGUGUGGCUGAUCAUCCUCUCAGACCAGCUACGGAUCGUCGCCUUGGUGAGCCGUUACCUCACCAACCAGCUAAUCCGACAUAGGCUCAUCCGAUAGCGCGAGGCCCGAAGGUCCCCCGNUUUCCCCCGUAGGGCGUAUGCGGUAUUAGCCUGGGUUUCCCCAGGUUAUCCCCCACUACCGGGCAGAUUCCUAUGCAUUACUCACCCGUCCGCCGCUCGCCACCAGGGAGCAAGCUCCCCGUGCUGCCGCUCGACUUGCAUGUGUUAGGCCUGCCGCCAGCGUUCAAUCUGAGCAGANCAACUACUGA
rnacentral:rRNA from 1 species